rnacentral:rRNA from 1 species
CCUACGGGUGGCUGCAGUGGGGAAUAUUGGACAAUGGGGGGAACCCUGAUCCAGCCAUGCCGCGUGUGUGAAGAAGGCCCUCGGGUUGUAAAGCACUUUCAGUGAGGAAGAACGCCUGGUGGUUAAUACCCAUCAGGAAAGACAUCACUCACAGAAGAAGCACCGGCUAACUCCGUGCCAGCAGCCGCGGUAAUACGGAGGGUGCGAGCGUUAAUCGGAAUUACUGGGCGUAAAGCGCGCGUAGGUGGCUUGAUAAGCCGGUUGUGAAAGCCCGGGGCUCAACCUGGGAACGGCAUCCGGAACUGUCAAGCUAGAGUGCAGGAGAGGAAGGUAGAAUUCCCGGUGUAGCGGUGAAAUGCGUAGAGAUCGGGAGGAAUACCAGUGGCGAAGGCGGCCUUCUGGACUGACACUGACACUGAGGUGCGAAAGCGUGGGUAGCAAACAGGAUUAGAUACCCCUGUAGUC